rnacentral:tRNA from 1 species
GGCCUUGUGGCCUAAUGGAUAAGGCGUCCGCCUCCGGAGCCGAAGAUUGUGGGUUCGAGUCCCAUCAAGGUCG